AUACGUAGGGGGCGAGCGUUGUCCGGAAUUACUGGGCGUAAAGAGCUCGUAGGUGGUUUGUCGCGUCGUCCGUGAAAUUCCGGGGCUUAACUCCGGGCGUGCAGGCGAUACGGGCAUAACUUCAGUACUGUAGGGGAGACUGGAAUUCCUGGUGUAGCGGUGAAAUGCGCAGAUAUCAGGAGGAACACCGGUGGCGAAGGCGGGUCUCUGGGCAGUAACUGACGCUGAGGAGCGAAAGCAUGGGUAGCGAACAGGAUUAGAUACCCUGGUAGUCCAUGCCGUAAACGGUGGGCGCUAGGUGUAGGGGUCUUCCACGACUUCUGUGCCGUAGCUAACGCAUUAAGCGCCCCGCCUGGGGAGUACGGCCGCAAGGCUAAAACUCAAAGGAAUUGACGGGG
rnacentral:rRNA from 1 species